UGUAGGUAUAAUAAUAAUUAUAAUACACAGUAGGUAAUAAUAUUGUUAUUGUAUGGGCCGAGUAACUUUCUCGAUUAAAAACGGCCGCGUGUAAAGUAUCGGAUUCGAUUCGUUAUAGAUAAAAAAAAUACAAACAUUAUAAUCGAUAUUCGUUUUAUUACAUAUUAUGUGUAAUGUAUGCGAACAUGCGUGUUUCCCAUGACAGAAUAGACGAGCGUUAUCACAGCGUAUCGCGAUUUCGUGUGAAAACCACGUGAACGUACGUACACAUCCGGAAUCCGGGUUUGUAUACUUUCCGGAUUUUCACGGACGCGUAAGAGAUCCGAAACGUUUAAAUCCCAUUAAUGGAAUUAUUGAAUACCGUCGGGUUCGGACGUAUUACGUUUUCCGGAUCUGUACGGUUCAGAUUUCGAUAUCCGUAAGCGCCCCGCGUCAGUACGAAUCCGGACUCCAGGCGUGCACGUCCCGUGGUUUGUACAUUCCGGGUUUUUAUAGGCGGUUACGCCUCGUUUCCUCCGCGUUCUGCCUGUUAUGUCUUAGCAGUUCUCCAUUAUUACCGGUUAAAAUGCACACAGGCGCAAUUUUAUAAAUUAUUGCGGUUUUUUUGGUUUGGAUAAAAUAUUGAUUUUUUUUCCAUUAAAAUUUCGGGAAAUCACGUUUAAAACGGUAUUGUGUGAACGCACUUUUCAGUUUUCGUCUGAACAAUAAACAGCGAUCGUACAGAAAACCAUAACACUAUCUUAAUUUAUAUUUUAUAUUUUAAACGGUGAGGUACGAAAUUAUGAUCUAUUUAUAACUGAGGUUGCAUGAAAAUUUUAAAUUGACUGUAAUAUUAUGCUUAUUAUAGUACUAGGGGGGUGUGGGAGACUAAGCUCCACCACCACGAAUUUGUGUACCAUAAUCUAUUCUAGCGCCAUCUAAAUUCACGCCCGAUGUGCGCCAAUGUUAAAACUGUGUUAUUAGCCGACGAUAAAAGCGGAGAACCGCGACAACGCGGAAGCUAGGAGCGGGACGUGAGUGUCGAAAUACUGCGUACCCAUUUAUUCUGUCGUGUUUACAUUUUUCCGAUCGCGAUACGUUUUUCGUAUACAUAAUAGGCGUUUCAGCAAUAUUUACCGUCAGUCGAUUAUACAUGAUAUAAUAACGAAUAUGGUUUUUCGGUUUGGUUAAAAAUGAAAAAAAAAAAAAACCGUACGUAAUAUCUAAACAAAUUUUUAUAUAAUGAAUAAUAUUG